AUGAGAUGAAAUUAAUGUUUAGACAUGUGAUUUUACGUUGAUUUCAUCUCAUAA
rnacentral:pre_miRNA from 1 species